CAGCAGCCACGGUAAUACGUAGGGUGCAAGCGUUAAUCGGAAUUACUGGGCGUAAAGCGUGCGCAGGCGGUUAUAUAAGACAGAUGUGAAAUCCCCGGGCUCAACCUGGGAACUGCAUUUGUGACUGUAUAGCUAGAGUACGGCAGAGGGGGAUGGAAUUCCGCGUGUAGCAGUGAAAUGCGUAGAUAUGCGGAGGAACACCGAUGGCGAAGGCAAUCCCCUGGGCCUGUACUGACGCUCAUGCACGAAAGCGUGGGGAGCAAACAGGAUUAGAUACCCGCGUAGUCCCUGUCUCUUAUCA
rnacentral:rRNA from 1 species